UUAAGGUAACAGAGUCAGGGACAGUACGUCUUACAAUCAUCACACCCUUUUCACAGUGUCUAGAAAAAUAAUCAGGUAGAGCCAUCAUAGUUCCACUCGCCCUACCCAACGUUUUAACAUAUCAUAUGCAUAAACAACUGAGGAAAGACUGGCAUCAAAUGCCAGAAACUAUACAGCUAAUUUUUCCACCAAGUGUUUCACCGCAUAUUUUCUCUGCGACGUACAUAU
rnacentral:misc_RNA from 1 species